UACAGAGGUGGCAAGCGUUGUCCGGAUUUAUUGGGCGUAAAGAGCUCGUAGGCGGUUGGGUAAGUCGGGUGUGAAAACUCCAGGCUCAACUUGGAGACGCCACCCGAUACUGCUCUGACUUGAGUUCGGUAGGGGAGUGGGGAAUUCCUGGUGUAGCGGUGAAAUGCGCAGAUAUCAGGAGGAACACCGGUGGCGAAGGCGGAUCUCUGGGCCUUACCUGACGCUGAGGCGCGAAAGCUAGGGGAGCAAACAGG
rnacentral:rRNA from 1 species